UUAACACAUGCAAGUCGAGGGGCAGCAUGGUCUUUUCUUGCUAAGGCCGAUGGCGACCGGCGCACGGGUGAGUAACACGUAUCCAACCUGCCGUCUACUCUUGGACAGCCUUCUGAAAGGAAGAUUAAUACAAGAUGGCAUCAUGAGUCCGCAUGUUCACAUGAUUAAAGGUAUUCCGGUAGACGAUGGGGAUGCGUUCCAUUAGAUAGUAGGCGGGGUAACGGCUCACCUAGUCUUCGAUGGAUAGGGGUUCUGAGAGGAAGGUCCCCCACAUUGGAACUGAGACACGGUCCAAACUCCUACGGGAGGCAGCAGUGAGGAAUAUUGGUCAAUGGGCGAGAGCCUGAACCAGCCAAGUAGCGUGAAGGAUGACUGCCCUAUGGGUUGUAAACUUCUUUUAUAAAGGAAUAAAGUCGGGUAUGGAUACCCGUUUGCAUGUACUUUAUGAAUAAGGAUCGGCUAACUCCGUGCCAGCAGCCGCGGUAAUACGGAGGAUCCGAGCGUUAUCCGGAUUUAUUGGGUUUAAAGGGAGCGUAGAUGGAUGUUUAAGUCAGUUGUGAAAGUUUGCGGCUCAACCGUAAAAUUGCAGUUGAUACUGGAUAUCUUGAGUGCAGUUGAGGCAGGCGGAAUUCGUGGUGUAGCGGUGAAAUGCUUAGAUAUCACGAAGAACUCCGAUUGCGAAGGCAGCCUGCUAAGCUGCAACUGACAUUGAGGCUCGAAAGUGUGGGUAUCAAACAGGAUUAGAUACCCUGGUAGUCCACACGGUAAACGAUGAAUACUCGCUGUUUGCGAUAUACUGCAAGCGGCCAAGCGAAAGCGUUAAGUAUUCCACCUGGGGAGUACGCCGGCAACGGUGAAACUCAAAGGAAUUGACGGGGGCCCGCACAAGCGGAGGAACAUGUGGUUUAAUUCGAUGAUACGCGAGGAACCUUACCCGGGCUUAAAUUGCAGAUGAAUUACGGUGAAAGCCGUAAGCCGCAAGGCAUCUGUGAAGGUGCUGCAUGGUUGUCGUCAGCUCGUGCCGCGAGGUGUCGGCUUAAGUGCCAUAACGAGCGCAACCCUUGUUGUCAGUUACUAACAGGUUCCGCUGAGGACUCUGACAAGACUGCCAUCGUAAGAUGUGAGGAAGGUGGGGAUGACGUCAAAUCAGCACGGCCCUUACGUCCGGGGCUACACACGUGUUACAAUGGGGGGUACAGAGGGCCGCUACCACGCGAGUGGAUGCCAAUCCCCAAAACCUCUCUCAGUUCGGACUGGAGUCUGCAACCCGACUCCACGAAGCUGGAUUCGCUAGUAAUCGCGCAUCAGCCACGGCGCGGUGAAUACGUUCCCGGGCCUUGUACACACCGCCCGUCAAGCCAUGGGAGCCGGGGGUACCUGAAGUGCGUAACCGCGAGGAGCGCCCUAGGGUAAAACUGGUGACUGGGGCUAA
rnacentral:rRNA from 1 species